rnacentral:rRNA from 1 species
AGUGAACGCUGGCGGUAGGCCUAACACAUGCAAGUCGAACGGCAGCACAGUAAGAGCUUGCUCUUACGGGUGGCGAGUGGCGGACGGGUGAGGAAUACAUCGGAAUCUACUUUUUCGUGGGGGAUAACGUAGGGAAACUUACGCUAAUACCGCAUACGACCUACGGGUGAAAGCAGGGGAUCUUCGGACCUUGCGCGAUUGAAUGAGCCGAUGUCGGAUUAGCUAGUUGGCGGGGUAAAGGCCCACCAAGGCGACGAUCCGUAGCUGGUCUGAGAGGAUGAUCAGCCACACUGGAACUGAGACACGGUCCAGACUCCUACGGGAGGCAGCAGUGGGGAAUAUUGGACAAUGGGCGCAAGCCUGAUCCAGCCAUACCGCGUGGGUGAAGAAGGCCUUCGGGUUGUAAAGCCGUUUUGUUGGGAAAGAAAAGCAGCAGGUUAAUACCCCGCUGUUCUGACGGUACCCAAAGAAUAAGCACCGGCUAACCUCGUG